UUUAUUUUUCUAAAUUUAUUUUUAAAUAGCCUUUUCUUUUAAAUUCACCAUAAAUUCAUUUUUGAUCCAAAAAUAAUGCGACCAACACAAAAAAUUCACAAAUAUUCAUUUUUGUCCGCCAGUAAAACAGAAACUCCAAAGAACAAGACCAAACAUGGGUUUGAAGAUUCGAGAAGAGGUCAAAAGACAGUUUGAUGUUGGC
rnacentral:lncRNA from 1 species